GAUGGCACGGAAGAGAACUCACAGUUGUAGCACCGAGAGCGGCCAGCAACGGUCUUGGUGCGAUGAUUCUGUAUGCUCUGCUUAUGUAAAGCUUCUUUGUCUGGUGUGGAGUUGUUGAUGCAGAAAAUCCAGAACCUCAUUGUUGUUGUCGGGAUUCUAUUUGUAUUUCGCUAAAAGGUUUUAAUCUCUUUUCCUUUUAUAUUCAAUUUACAUCCAAUAUACAAAAUUAAAUGAGAUUUCAAAGUAAUGCAGCAUGAACUAUUCAUUUUUCCUUUAGUUUUUGAUGUCCUGGAUUUUGUAUUUUCAGAGUAAUUUAGAAACUAAGGCAAAAGAAGUUCUUGCUGUGUAGCUACUGUGGAAGGUGGAGAUUAUAGAGUUCAUGUACGCACCAAGGCAAAGUUACGGCCGUGGAUGAGGUUGUGACAGCUAUGGUGGUGGAUCAUAAUAUGGCGGUGGUGUUGCAGUGAGUGCGGUGGAGUUUGUGGUGGUCAUCGAUGAUGUGGUGAUAGAUACAGAGGAGACAGCGGCGGAAGAGAGCAAAUCAUGGAAAGUACUGAGUCGCGCGGCCACAACACAUGCAAUGACACUAUGAAAGAGAGCACAA